rnacentral:misc_RNA from 1 species
UCCAGUUUAACACUGGCAGUCUCUCCAAAGUUCCCAACUUAAUGAUGGCAAUAGGAGACGAGGGUUGCGCUCGUUACGGGACUUAACCCAACAUCUCACGACACGAGCUGACGACAGCCAUGCAGCACCUGUCUCUUCGUUCCCCGAAGGGCACCAUCCUAUCUCUAGGACGUUCGAAGGAUGUCAAGCCCAGGAUAAGGUUCUUCGCGUUGCAUCGAAUUGAACCACAUGCUCCACCGCUUGUGCGGGUCCCCGUCAAUUCCUUUGAGUUUUAAUCUUGCGACCGUACUUCCCAGGCGGAAUACUUAACGCGUUAGCUUCGACACGACAGGGGUUAACUCCUAUCACAUCAAGUAUUCAUCGUUUACGGCGUGGACUAC